rnacentral:rRNA from 1 species
UGACGGUACCUGACUAAGAAGCUCCGGCUAAAUACGUGCCGGCAGCCGCGGUAAUACGUAUGGAGCAAGCGUUAUCCGGAUUUACUGGGUGUAAAGGGUGCGUAGGUGGCAGGGCAAGUCAGAUGUGAAAGACCGGGGCUCAACUCCGGGGCUGCAUUUGAAACUGUCUUGCUGGAGUGCAGGAGGGGCAAGCGGAAUUCCUAGUGUAGCGGUGAAAUGCGUAGAUAUUAGGAGGAACACCGGUGGCGAAGGCGGCUUGCUGGACUGAUACUGACACUGAGGCACGAAAGCGUGGGGAGCAAACAGGAUUAGAUACCCUG